rnacentral:rRNA from 1 species
CAAGACGCCCGGGCUUCGGCCUGGUUAUUCAUAACCCUUUGUUGUCCGACUCUGUUGCCUCCGGGGCGACCCUGCCCUUCGGGCGGGGGCUCCGGGUGGACACUUCAAACUCUUGCGUAACUUUGCAGUCUGAGUAAACUUAAUUAAUAAAUUAAAACUUUUAACAACGGAUCUCUUGGUUCUGGCAUCGAUGAAGAACGCAGCGAAAUGCGAUAAGUAAUGUGAAUUGCAGAAUUCAGUGAAUCAUCGAAUCUUUGAACGCACAUUGCGCCCCCUGGUAUUCCGGGGGGGCAUGCCUGUUCGAGCGUCAUUUCACCACUCAAGCCUCGCUUGGUAUUGGGCAACGCGGUCCGCCGCGUGCCUCAAAUCGUCCGGCUGGGUCUUCUGUCCCCUAAGCGUUGUGGAAACUAUUCGCUAAAGGGUGUUCGGGAGGCUACGCCGUAAACACCCAUUUCUAAGGUUG